UUAAUCUCUUUUUCAUAAAUACAUGGGCACGGAGUCAGUGAAAUAUCUGAGACAGAACUGAUACCAGCAAAAAAAACAGGUGUAAAAACAGUGACUUGGUUUUAAACAUUGUCACAAGUACACAGUCAAGUCAGUUGCAUUAAACACCACUCAGGGUGACUUGGUUUUCAACACUGUCACAAGUACACAGUCAAGUCAGCUGCAUUAAACGCUACUCAGGGUGACUUGGGUUUUCUAACGCUUCUAGCAAUAUUCCCGCAAUAUUGCUGGG